GCAACAUCCGAAGCCGUGCGGUCCCGUGCGGACUUUACGUGAACUCGGCACAGUUCAUUAAUAGUGACUGUUAACUUUUUAUCGCGUGUUAGUGAUGGUAUCUGAGUGAAACUUAAAUUCUGUUCGUUAUCAAUGGAGGCUAUUUAGAUAUUGGCGUGGCGAUCGUGCCGACCACGAUACAGACAUCAUGCUUUUUAUACUUCUGCUGGCUCUCGGAAUAUUGUUCACAAAUGUGUCAUCGGACACGCCGGUUCGGUUGGGCCCCGUGUUCACGGUGGAGCCGC